rnacentral:rRNA from 1 species
UCAGCGACUUACAUUCUGUGGCGAGGUUAACCGGAUAGGGAAGCCGAAGCGAAAGCGAGUUCGAAUAGAGCGAAAAGUCGCAGGGUGUAGACCCGAAACCAGAUGAGCUAUCCAUGGCCAGGUUGAAGGUGUGGUAACACACACUGGAGGACCGAACCGACUAGUGUUGCAAAAUUAGCGGAUGAGCUGUGGAUAGGGGUGAAAGGCCAAACAAAUCUGGAGAUAGCUGGUUCUCCCCGAAAACUAUUGAGGUAGUGCCUCGUGUUGAGGCUCCAGGGGGUAGAGCACUGUUUUGGCUAGGGGGACAUGUAGUCUUACCAAACCAAGGCAAACUCCGAAUACCUGGAAGCUAUACACGGGAGACAGAGCACCGGGUGCUAACGUCCGGACUCAAAAGGGAAACAACCCAGACCGCCGGCUAAGGUCCCCAAUAGCAGCUAAGUGGAAAACGAAGUGGAAAGGCCGUGACAACCAGGAAGUUGGCUUAGAAGCAGCCAUCCUUCAAAGAAAGCGUAAUAGCUCACUGGUCGAGUCUUUCUGCGCGGAAGAUGUAACGGGGCUAAGCUGCUAACCGAAGCCGCGGAUGCAUGGAAAAAUCCAUGCGUGGUAGGGGAGCGUUCUGUAAGUCUGAGAAGGCGGAUUGAGAAGUCUGCUGGAGAUAUCAGAAGUGCGAAUGCUGACAUGAGUAACGUUAAAGAGGGUGAAAAGCCCUCUCGCCGCAAGCCCAAGGUUUCCUGCUCUACGUUCAUCGGAGCAGGGUGAGUCGGCCCCUAAGGUCAGGCCGAAAGGCGUAGCCGAUGGGAACCGGGUUAAUAUUCCCGGACCGCUGUCAGAUGCGAAGGGGUGACGGAGAGGCUAAGGUCAUCCGAGUGUUGGACUACUCGGUACUUAGACGAGGACGGUUGGCAGGCAAAUCCGCCAACGGAUCGUCCGGAUCGGAAGUGGUGCUCCCACGGGAGCGAAGUGAUUGGAAACUCUUCCAGGAAAAACCUCUAAGCUACAGUCUGACAGGACCGUACCGCAAACCGACACUGGUGGGCGAGCUGAAUAUGCUCAGGCGCUUGAGAGAACUCGGGAGAAGGAACUCGGCAAAUUGACACCGUAACUUCGGAAGAAGGUGUGCCGCAGUAGCGUGAGAGGAGAAACACCUUGAGCGUGAGACGGUCUCAGAGAAUAGGUGGCUGCGACUGUUUAUUAAAAACACAGCACUCUGCAAAGUCGAAAGACGACGUAUAGGGUGUGAUGCCUGCCCGGUGCUGGAAGAUUAAUUGAUGGGCUGAGAGGCCUUGAUCGAAGUCCCAGUAAACGGCGGCCGUAACUAUAACGGUCCUAAGGUAGCGAAAUUCCUUGUCGGGUAAGUUCCGACCUGCACGAAUGGCAUAACGAUGGCCACACUGUCUCCUCCCGAGACUCAGUGAAGUUGAAGUGUUUGUGAUGAUGCAAUCUACCCGCGGCUAGACGGGAAGACCCCAUGAACCUUUACUGCAGCUUUGCAUUGAACUGUGAACCGAUUUGUGUAGGAUAGGUGGGAGACAGAGAAGGAGGAGCGCCAGCUCCUCUGGAGUCAACCUUGAAAUACCACCCUGAUUUGUUUGCGGUUCUAACCAAGACAGGACCACACUGUUUGGGACCGUGCAUGGUAGGCAGUUUGACUGGGGCGGUCUCCUCCUAAAGGGUAACGGAGGAGUACGAAGGUACGCUAGGUACGGUCGGAAAUCGUGCUGAUAGUGCAAUGGCAAAAGCGUGCUUGACUGCGAGAGCCACAACUCGAGCAGAUGCGAAAGCAGGUCAUAGUGAUCCGGUGGCACUGAAUGGAAGGGCCAUCGCUCAACGGAUAAAAGG